ACCCACAAACGUUCUAAACCCAGCAGCUUCGUCUUUUCCUUCACCGUACUUCGUCUUCUCCGUCACCGUGACUCCACCGAUCUAACCAGCAGCUCUGACUCACGGACGCACCUUCUUAGCCAACCCCGCUGGCCCCCUGCCUCGCCUAGCAAUGGAACGCACCCGGACGCAGUGAGCCCAUAGCGCAAGACCAUCGGAACACCACCACAAAAAACCCGUCUUGGCCCUCUUCCCUCUUUGCUUUUGAGAAGGUAAUUGUAUGGGAUAAGGGCAAGAGUAUAAUCGCCCUCUAAUACUUUCAUCAUCAUCAAAAUUGGAAGCUUGCUUAGCGAGUGGUCCUAACACCAGGAGCAAUGGAACUUUCUAAAGGGAAAGGGAAGGCCAUCUGUGUAGCCAAGGGAAAGAAAUCUAUGCUGGAUGGUGAUUUGGAGAAAACUGUAAGAUAAACUUUAACUCUUCAUUUUUCAUUUUCUAUUGAUCACUGUUCUUCAUUUUCUAUUGUAUAGGUUAGGUUUCUUCGAGAAAAGAAUGUUUGCGCCGUGCCUUCAAAUUUUUUCUGAUUUCGUUGAUGCAAAGCACUAAUUGAUGUGCUGCACUGGCUGAUGUGCUGCACUGGCUGAUGUGCUUAUAUCUGCUCUUAUGUUGUUAAAUGCAGAGCACUGGCUGGUGUGCUUAGAUUUUUUCUGAUUUCGUUGAUGCAGAGCACUAACUGAUGUGUUGCACUGGCUGGUGUGUUUAUAUCUGCUCUUACAUUGUUAAAUGCAGAGCACUGGCUGGUGUGCUUAGAUUUUUUCUGAUUUCGUUGAUGCAGAGCACUAACUAAUGUGCUUCUUGGUUUUAACUUUUUACCUGGUAUUUACUAGAAUUCCAUAAGCAGCAAAUUGAUAGUUAUUUGUAGCUAGCUUAAAUGAAUAGUUGGGAGAAUGCAUAAGCAGGGGUAAUUCUCUUUCGUGCCACUAAGAAGAGGAUCACAUACUACACACUAAUGCUUGAGCCACUAGCUAGCAAGUGCCGUAGGCACGGGCAAGCACUAGUAUAUAUAUAAAAUAGAAAAAAAAACGAA